AGUAACAGAGAGUUCGAUCAUGGCUCAGAUUGAACGCUGGCGGGAUGCUUUACACAUGCAAGUCGAACGGCAGCACGGACUUCGGUCUGGUGGCGAGUGGCGAACGGGUGAGUAAUGUAUCGGAACGUGCCUAGUAGCGGGGGAUAACUACGCGAAAGCGUAGCCAAUACCGCCACGCUCCGGGGAAAGUGGGGACCUUUCGGGCCUCGCACUAUUAGAGCGGCCGAUAUCGGAUUAGCUAGUUGGUGGGGUAACGGCUCACCAAGGCGACGAUCCGUAGCUGGUUUGAGAGGACGACCAGCCACACUGGGACUGAGACACGGCCCAGACUCCUACGGGAGGCAGCAGUGGGGAAUUUGGACAAUGGGGGAAACUCUGAUCCAGCCAUCCCGCGUGUGCGAUGAAGGCCUUCGGGUUGUAAAGCACUUUUGGCAGGAAAGAAACGGCACGGGAUAAUACCCGUGCAACUGACGGUACCUGCAGAAUAAGCACCGGCUAACUACGUGCCAGCAGCCGCGGUAAUACGUAGGGUGCAAGCGUUAAUCGGAAUUACUGGGCGUAAAGCGUGCGCAGGCGGUUCGGAAAGAAAGAUGAAAUCCCAGAGCUUAACUUUGAACUGCAUUUUUAACUACCGAGCUAGAGGUGUCAGAGGGAGGUGGAAUCGCGUGUAGCAGUGAAAUGCGUAGAUAUGCGGAGGAACGCCGAUGGCGAAGGCAGCCUCCUGGGAUAACACUGACGCUCAUGCACGAAAGCGUGGGGAUCAAACAGGAUUAGAUACCCUGGCAGUCUCACGCCCCAAACGAUGUCAACUAGCUGUUGGGGCCUUCGGGCUCUGCAGCGCAGCUAACGCGUGGGGUUGACCGCCUGGGGAGUACGGUCGUAAGAUUAAAACUCAAAGGAAUUGACGGGGACCGCACAAGCGGUGGAUGAUGUGGAUUAAUUCGAUGCAACGCGGAAAACCUACCUACCCUUGACAUGUCUGGAAUCCCGAAGAGAUUUGGGAGUGCUCGCAAGAGAACCGGAACACAGGUGCUGCAUGGCUGUCGUCGCUCGUGUCGUGAGAUGCUGGGUUAAGUCCCGCAACGAGCGCAACCCUUGUCAUUAGUUGCUACGAAAGGGCACUCUAAUGAGACUGCCGGUGACAAACCGGAGGAAGGUGGGGAUGACGCUGUCCUCUAUGGCCCUUAUGGGUAGGGCUUUCACACGUCAUACAAUGGUCGGGACAGAGGGUCGCCAACCCGCGAGGGGGAGCCAAUCCCAGAAACCCGAUCGGGUCCGGAUCGCAGUCUGCAACUCGACUGCGUGAAGUCGGAAUCGUUAGCAUCAGGAUCAGCAUGUCGCGGUGAAUACGUUCCCGGGUUCCAGGCACACCGCCCGUCACACCAUGGGAGUGGGUUUUACCAGAAGUAGUUAGCCUAACCGUAAGGAGGGCGAUUACCACGGUAGGAUUCAUGACUGGGGUGAAGUCGUAACAAGGUAG
rnacentral:rRNA from 1 species